rnacentral:tRNA from 1 species
GGUAGAGUGCCUAAGUAGCAAAGGGUUUAGCUCGAAACUAAAUGGGUUCGCCCGCGUAGGUUCGAGUCCUAUCUCUAUCG